UACAGAGGGGGCAAGCGUUAUUCGGAAUUAUUGGGCGUAAAGGGCGCGUAGGCGGUGUCUUAAGUGAGAUGUGUAAUCCCCGAGCUUAACUUGGGAACUGCAUCUCAGACUGGGGCGCUAGAGUGCUGGAGAGGGUGGUAGAAUUCCACGUGUAGCGGUGAAAUGCGUAGAGAUGUGGAGGAAUACCAGUGGCGAAGGCGGCCACCUGGACAGUAACUGACGCUGAGGCGCGAAAGUGUGGGGAGCAAACAGG
rnacentral:rRNA from 2 species